rnacentral:rRNA from 1 species
UACGGAGGGGGCUAGCGUUGUUCGGAAUUACUGGGCGUAAAGCGCACGUAGGCGGCUUUGUAAGUUAGAGGUGAAAGCCCGGAGCUCAACUCCGGAAUUGCCUUUAAGACUGCAUCGCUAGAACGUCGGAGAGGUGAGUGGAAUUCCGAGUGUAGAGGUGAAAUUCGUAGAUAUUCGGAAGAACACCAGUGGCGAGGGCGGCUCACUGGUCCGGUACUGCCGCUGAGGUGCGAAAGCGUGGGGAGCAAACAGG